CAUGAUGAGAAAUCCACUUGACUGAAAAACAGAAGGAGCAAGACUCAAGCAUGGCGAGGAAGAGGUCUGCUUCUGGACCAGGGGAUUGCUAUGAAGAAAGGAACUCACCCACAGCUGGAUGCUUCAGGGAAGAGGUGAAGAGGAAGAGACUGUAAAAUUUGGCACUGGAGCUAGGAGGAGGGAUGGAUUACUAAGAUUGUAUAAGGAGCCAAAUGGUGAAGAGCCUGUGGACCAAAAGGACACUGAGAUAUGAGCCACAGAGACAUGCAGUCACAGAAGAAUUCCCUUUGUCUGACUGUGUCCCUACCACCACCAGGAAUGAAGACAACAGUAUUGAUGUGUCUGAGUGUCCACUCAAAAUAUGCAGGUGGGUGCUUUCAUCACACAGGGCAGUGAAUGCCUACUCUGAGUUACCUAGUGCU
rnacentral:lncRNA from 1 species